UUCGCAAUGCCCGAAAGGGUGACGAAGCGACGCCGCGUGCGGGAAGAAGGCCUUCGGGUUGUAAACCGCUGUCGGGAGUUGAGAAAUGCAAGGAUGUUAAUAGCGUUCUUGCUUGACUAAAGCUCCAGAGGAAGCCACGGCUAACUCUGUGCCAGCAGCCGCGGUAAUACAGAGGCGGCAAGCGUUGUUCGGAAUUAUUGGGCGUAAAGAGCACGUAGGCGGCUAUGUAAGUCGGUUGUGAAAGCCUUCCGCUCAACGGGAGAACAGCAUCCGAUACUGCAUGGCUUGAGUGCGGGAGGGGAGAGUGGAACUUCUGGUGGAGCGGUGAAAUGCGUAGAUAUCAGAAGGAACGCCGGCGGCGAAAGCGGCUCUCUGGCCCGUAACUGACGCUGAGUGUGCGAAAGCUAGGGGAUCAAACGGGAUUAGAUACCCCGGUAGUCCUAGCCGUAGACGAUGGGCACUAAGUAGAGGGGUUUU
rnacentral:rRNA from 1 species